UGAAAGACAGGGUAGUGAGAUGCUUUGGUCAAGUUCAUCUUGUUGCCUUGUCCUUCUUG
rnacentral:pre_miRNA from 1 species